CAUAUCUCAGAUACUAUAAGCAAUAGGUCUAGUAUAUUCGGUGUAUGGAAGGACUGUAAGGUGUACAUGUCCAACUGGCAGGUGUCAUCUGACCUUGACCCCAUUUUCAUGGUUCAGUGGUUAUAGUUAAGUUUUUGUGUUUUGGUCUGUUUUUCUCAUACUUUAUGCAAUAGGUUUACUAUAUUUGUUGUAUGGAAUGAUUGUAAGGUGUACAUGUCUAGCGGGCAGAUGUCAUCUGACCUUGACCUCAUUUUCAUGGUUCAGUGGUUAUAGUUAAGUUUUUGUGUUUUGGUCUGUUUUUCUCAUACUUUAUGCAAUAGGUUUACUAUAUUUGUUGUAUGGAAUGAUUGUAAGGUGUACAUGUCUAGCGGGU
rnacentral:lncRNA from 1 species